GAUGAACGCUGGCGGCGUGCCUAAUACAUGCAAGUCGAGCGAACAGACGAGGAGCUUGCUCCUCUGACGUUAGCGGCGGACGGGUGAGUAACACGUGGAUAACCUACCUAUAAGACUGGGAUAACUUCGGGAAACCGGAGCUAAUACCGGAUAAUAUAUUGUACCGCAUGGUUCAAUAGUGAAAGACGGUUUUGCUGUCACUAAUAGAUGGAUCCGCGCCGCAUUAGCUAGUUGGUAAGGUAACGGCUUACCAAGGCAACGAUGCGUAGCCGACCUGAGAGGGUGAUCGGCCACACUGGAACUGAGACACGGUCCAGACUCCUACGGGAGGCAGCAGUAGGGAAUCUUCCGCAAUGGGCGAAAGCCUGACGGAGCAACGCCGCGUGAGUGAUGAAGGUCUUCGGAUCGUAAAACUCUGUUAUUAGGGAAGAACAAAUGUGUAAGUAACUAUGCACGUCUUGACGGUACCUAAUCAGAAAGCCACGGCUAACUACGUG
rnacentral:rRNA from 1 species